GACGAACGCUGGCGGCGUGCUUAACACAUGCAAGUCGAACGGAAAGGCCCUGCUUUUGUGGGGUGCUCGAGUGGCGAACGGGUGAGUAACACGUGAGUAACCUGCCCUUGACUUUGGGAUAACUUCAGGAAACUGGGGCUAAUACCGGAUAGAAGCUCCUGCUGCAUGGUGGGGGUUGGAAAGUUUCGGCGUUUGGGGAUGGACUCGCGGCUUAUCAGCUUGUUGGUGGGGUAGUUGCCUACCAAGGCUUUGACGGGUAGCCGGCCUGAGAGGGUGACCGGACACAUGGGGACUGAGAUACGGACCAGACUCCUACGGGAGGCAGCAGGGGGGAAUAUUGCACAAUGGGCGGAAGUGUGAUGUAGAAGCGCCGCGUGCGGGAUGACGGCUUUCGGGUUGUAAACCGCUUUCGCCGGUGAUGAAGCGUGAGUGACGGUAAUGGGUAAAGAAGCACCGGCUAACUACGUG
rnacentral:rRNA from 1 species